GAUUAGGGUUGUGAAUCUACUAUAAAUCACAACCAUAGUAGCCAGUUGGAAAACUAUUAUCAAAUAGAAAAAAGAAAACAUAAAAGUAAAAGAUUGUUCGAAUUUGAACAGGGAAAACCCUUGCACAGAUCAUGACAAGCCAUCGAGCUAGAGGCAGGCCGUCUAAGAGUUCAUACAAGAACACCAAUCUCCAUUCUCCGGUCAACAACCUCCGUUCUAUGGUUAGUUAUUUUCCACGACAUAGAGUAAGAAAAUCAAGGGCUGAAACCAUAACAGUUGCUGUGAAAACAUGGCAUCGUUUGGGUUCGGAAGAUUCGGAAACCCUACUAGGAGGGCUUAUGGAAAAGAAGAGUAGCCGACCGCAAUGGAUCAGGAGAAAGAAGAGCUCGGUAGAUAAGGAAACCCAACUGCGGUGGCUUAUGGAAAAGAUAAGUAGCCUAAGGAUUGGGGAAAAGAAGUGCAUAGAUCUUAUGGAAAAGAAGAGUAGCCUGCCACAAUGGAUUAGGAGAAAGAGGAGCAUGGUUCCAAAAUUUAAUGAGCAAUUGAAGAAUACAAGUAGAACAUCAAACGAUGAAUCUAGUCUGUCCAUUGCCAGAAUCUUCGUCGGUUCCAUGGAUGGCAAAAAGUGUGAUUCCGGGACCAAUUCCGGAUCUCGAUUCUUUUCCCGACCACGUUAGUUUCUUAUAGAACUUUCUCGCAACCAUAACAUAAUGGAAGGAUAGAGUACUCAUUCAAAUAGCUUUCGAAUUCUGAGUUCUGUGUAUUUUUUUAUUUUUUAACCUGAAGAUAAUUUAAGUUUUGCUUUCAACAUAGAACAGCCAUUAACCUGAGCUCUACAGCGGUUAUAAAUUUUUUUUUGGGUUACUAACAUCUUUAUAUAUUUUUUUAUGGUUAGAAAAAAACUAUCUGACAUGUGACGUAGCAGGCCAAGAGCUAGAUGAGCUAUUCCUCCAUAAACGAGACUAACUAGAAAUUUCCAUUUCAAAUUCCAGCCCUUUAAAAAAUAAACUUGUGAAAGCCCUAAUUUAGGAAAAGGCCCAACAACAAAUCCAGUACCAGCCUAAAAGAGCUUCCAACCAAAACUAAAAAAAUUAAAAAAUUCCAAUGGUACGUUGUCGUGUCGCCUCCGACAAAUAAAUACCUCUUUACUGCUGCUUCUUCCGCUGUUUGCGAAGCUAAAAAAGAAAAGCAGGGCAGCACAACGCUCGCUUCCCUUAAACCCUCUUUAAGCCCUUCCCCAAAAUAACUUCAUCGGCGCCGUCUUUUUCUCACUGCUCCGUCACUCUAUCAUCUCCUUCCCCGUCACCUCCAUUCCAAGAUUGCUUGAUAAUUUAGACAAACCUGUGCCUGGUGGGUUAAAUGAUCCAGCAAUGGGGCCACAAGGGGACGAGCCGAGUGGAGGUUCUCUUCGGCAUAGCGCGGGCUCAGGAGCAGAAAUUAGAUUGUUUGGAGCAAACCAUAAUAAAUCUAGCUUUUCUAAUGGGUAACACAAUGGAAAAGAAGAAACUAAAAGCUAAGGGAAAGAAAGGUAGAUCAAAAUGAAUUAAAAAGGACUUUGAUAGAGCAAUUUUUGUGGUAGCCAAGGGAUUGCACUUUGAAAUCUAUGUUAAAUUCAACAAUGAACCUCAUAUUUUGCUGGCUGAGGUAUGUUCUCGUAUUGAGUUUUGAGCUUUCAUUGUAGAAUGUAUUUUAUUACUCUAUUUGUUUGUGGGCCAACGCUAUCUACUAACCAAGAAUUUUCUCUAUGAUAGGUUGCAAUUUUCUGUUUUGUUCACAACUGUUGCCCAUUUAUGGAAACUGACUUCGAAAACUUUAGUUUCUGAUCUCUCUUUCUUCCUACACUGUUGGUGCUGAAAUUUACUUUUAUGUUUUUCUUCUUCAAGGUGGGAUUUCCACCCCUUCAUCGAUAAACUUAAAAAAUAUGAAGGCACUAGCAUACAUUUUCAUGCGAUUUGUUCUUAGCAUUAGUUAAGAUAGAUAGGAAGCUAAGUUCAAUAUGCAUUGCUACUUGGGUAUCAUAUCACACUCUUACCACUUGCUUUUAUCUCAGCGCUACAGUUUAUCUCUUGCUUUUGAUCUCAGUACUUUUGUAGGAAUAACAUCAUCUGUAAAGCAGAUAGUGCGCUUAGAAAUAUCGGUUUGAUAUUCUUGUAGUAUGCUUUGAAUACGAGUUAGACUGGGCUAAAUGAGGAGUAAUUUUAGCGUCAUUUCUAUCAGAUUGCUCAGAAGACAGCCAAGCGGUUCUGUAUCCAGAAUCCUGGGAAGUUUCAACGGCGUCAAGUGACUGGCUGCAAGGAAAAUCAAGUGCUUUCCUAUGGGAAAGACCCCAAGAGAAGAGUUGAUAUAGAACCUGGAGAAAAACAAAAAAUUCCAGCAUACCGGUGAGUACCGUCCAAUGAACCGAAUUGGGGGCAUAUCAGAGUCAAUAUCACUUUUAAGUAAAAUGUCUUUUGAGACAGCGUCCCAUUGAAACAGCAAUGCAUGGGAGGUCGAUAAUUUGGAAGCAUGGGGAGGUCGAUACCAUCUUCAAGUAAAAUGUCUUUCUGCUAGGGCGUGUCUUGGAUUGCCUGUGAAAAUGGGUACUGGAUCUUUUGAUUUGAUGCAUAAACUGGAAAUUUGAUCUCCACUGUAAAUUUUUUUAAUAUUUUUAACUUCAAAACCUUACUGAAGUGUGGCACUAAGGUGUUGUAUAAUUUAGAUGAAUGCUGCUAAUUUAUCAGGGUGCUUUUUUUUU